GGUUGCGUCGUCUCUUGGUUUAAUGUCGGAACUGGACGUUUCACGGACGCAUAUCCUGGUUACGUUGGCGAAGGAACUGGGGGUUGUUUUAUGAAGUUUUUCGUGUACGUGGCCGGGACUUGAUGCAACGUUGGCUAGGGAAGGCUACGUGGAGUUACAGGUCGGUUAUGUCCAGUUUUUACGUAGUAUAACUUGGAGACUUCUAACGUUCCAGGGAGAUGACAGUGAAUCCAAGCUUUAUGGAGCCAGGCUAACUAAUCAAACUUCUCUUUUGAGAAAAGGAAACUUUGUUAAAAAAAUUCUGAACCCAGGAUAACUUCUGUAUCGGUGCAAGAGAAAAAACGGGUUACGUGGCUCUUCAAGUAUACAGGAUAGAUCAAUUGGAAUGGUUAUGUAAGGCAACAAGAAGAAUUGUGCUAAGGAACUGGUGCGUCUGCGCGUUUGUUGCAAAAGUUGAUAAAUUGAGGUGACUGGAGCCUGGCAUUACUGAUUGCUCUACUUAAGCGUGCUAAUAAGUUUUAUUUUUUUUUUUAUU